rnacentral:rRNA from 1 species
UGGGGAAUAUUGCACAAUGGGCGCAAGCCUGAUGCAGCGACGCCGCGUGAGGGAUGACGGCCUUCGGGUUGUAAACCUCUUUCAGCAGGGACGAAGCGCAAGUGACGGUACCUGCAGAAGAAGCACCGGCCAACUGCGUGCCAGCAGCCGCGGUAAUACGUAGGGUGCGAGCGUUGUCCGGAAUUACUGGGCGUAAAGAGCUCGUAGGCGGUUUGUCGCGUCGUCUGUGAAAUUCUGCAGCUUAACUGCAGGCGUGCAGGCGAUACGGGCAGACUUGAGUACUACAGGGGAGACUGGAAUUCCUGGUGUAGCGGUGAAAUGCGCAGAUAUCAGGAGGAACACCGGUGGCGAAGGCGGGUCUCUGGGUAGUAACUGACGCUGAGGAGCGAAAGCGUGGGUAGCGAACAGGAUUAGAUACCCUGGUAGUCCACGCCGUAAAACGGUGGGUACUAGGUGUGGGUUCCAUUUCACGGGAUCCGUGCCGUAGCUAACGCAUUAAGUACCCCACCUGGGGAGUACGGCCGCAAGGCUAAAACUCAAAUGAAUUGACGGGGUCAUAGC